rnacentral:pre_miRNA from 1 species
UAUUUUGCUGAUGUGGCACCGUAUUUAUUGAAAAAAGAGGUAGAAAAAAUAAGACUCCAAGUCUUAUUUUUUCUACCUCUUUUUUCAAUAAAUACGGUGCCACAUCAGCAAAAUA